UACGUAGGGACCAAGCGUUGUCCGGAAUCAUUGGGCGUAAAGAGCGUGUAGGCGGCUUGUUAAGUCUUGCGUGAAAUCUCGGGGCUCAACCCCGAGCGGUCGUGAGAAACUGGCAGGCUAGAGUGCGGGAGAGGAGAGUGGAAUUCCUGGUGUAGCGGUGAAAUGCGCAGAUAUCAGGAGGAACACCGAUGGCGAAGGCAGCUCGCUGGGACGGUACUGACGCUGAGACGCGAAAGCGUGGGGAGCAAACAGG
rnacentral:rRNA from 1 species